GCGGAGGAAAAGAAAAUAACAAUGAUUCCCUUAGUAACGGCGAGUGAACAGGGAAAAGCUCACAGUUGGAACCUGUCUGACCUAGUCAGUCCGGAUUGUAAACUGAAAAAGUGUUUUCCAGACCAGCCGAGUAAAAAAGUUCCUUGGAAUAGGACAUCAUGGAGGGUGAGAAUCCCGUCUUUGGCUUGAGCAUGGUCUUUUGUGUUGCGCUUUAAAGAGUCAGGUUGUUUGGGAAUGCAGCCUAAAGUGGGAGGUAAAUCCCUCCUAAAGCUAAAUAUUGGCGGAAGACCGAUAGCAAACAAGUACCGUGAGGGAAAGAUGAAAAGAACUUUGAAAAGAGAGUUAAACAGUAUGUGAAAUUGCUAAAAGGGAAGCGUUUGGAGACAGACUGGUUGGUCUGAAAUCAGCCUGGACUUUGGUCUUGGUGUACUUUCGGACUAUGCCUGCCAACAGCAGUUUGGUUUGACUGAAAAAACUAGUAGUAAGGUGGCUCCUCCGGGAGUGUUAUAGACUAUUAGAAAAUCAGUUGGACUAGACUGAGGAAUGCAAUACGGCUUGCCUGAUGGCCAUGAAGGGUGGAUUCGGACCUUUGUCUGAUGAAGUUUUUUCAAGGGUUGUUAGAACUGUAUUUAGGUUGUUGGCUUAAUGU
rnacentral:rRNA from 1 species